rnacentral:rRNA from 1 species
GGGUUGUGAGGUUAAGCGACUAAGCGUACACGGUGGAUGCCCUGGCAGUCAGAGGCGAUGAAGGACGUGCUAAUCUGCGAUAAGCGUCGGUAAGGUGAUAUGAACCGUUAUAACCGGCGAUUUCCGAAUGGGGAAACCCAGUGUGUUUCGACACACUAUCAUUAACUGAAUCCAUAGGUUAAUGAGGCGAACCGGGGGAACUGAAACAUCUAAGUACCCCGAGGAAAAGAAAUCAACCGAGAUUCCCCCAGUAGCGGCGAGCGAACGGG